rnacentral:rRNA from 1 species
UUCGGGAGCUUGCACAGGUGCUGCAUGGCUGUCGUCAGCUCGUGUCGUGAGAUGUUCGAUUAAGUCCGCUAACGAGCGCAACCCUCGCUGUGUGUUAUAUGUGUCACACGGGACUGCCGGUCUUAAGCCGGAGGAAGGUGGGGAUGAUGUCAAGUCAGCAUGGCCUUUAUAUCCUGGGCUACACACACGCUACAAUGGCCAACACAAUAGGUUGCUAAGCCGCGAGGUGGCGCCAAUCCAUAAAGUUGGUCUCAGUUCAGAUUGUAGGCUGCAACCCGCCUGCAUGAAGAUGGAGUUGCUAGUAACCGCAGGUCAGCUAUACUGCGGUGAAUACGUUCCCGGGGCUU